AGGGCCUCACCUAAAAGCCUCCGG
rnacentral:siRNA from 1 species